AAAUUGAAGAGUUUGAUCAUGGCUCAGAUUGAACGCUGGCGGCAGGCCUAACACAUGCAAGUCGAGCGGUAGCACAGAGAGCUUGCUCUCGGGUGACGAGCGGCGGACGGGUGAGUAAUGUCUGGGAAACUGCCUGAUGGAGGGGGAUAACUACUGGAAACGGUAGCUAAUACCGCAUAAUGUCGCAAGACCAAAGUGGGGGACCUUCGGGCCUCAUGCCAUCAGAUGUGCCCAGAUGGGAUUAGCUAGUAGGUGGGGUAACGGCUCACCUAGGCGACGAUCCCUAGCUGGUCUGAGAGGAUGACCAGCCACACUGGAACUGAGACACGGUCCAGACUCCUACGGGAGGCAGCAGUGGGGAAUAUUGCACAAUGGGCGCAAGCCUGAUGCAGCCAUGCCGCGUGUGUGAAGAAGGCCUUCGGGUUGUAAAGCACUUUCAGCGGGGAGGAAGGCGUUAAGGUUAAUAACCUUGGCGAUUGACGUUACCCGCAGAAGAAGCACCGGCUAACUCCGUGCCAGCAGCCGCGGUAAUACGGAGGGUGCAAGCGUUAAUCGGAAUUACUGGGCGUAAAGCGCACGCAGGCGGUCUGUCAAGUCGGAUGUGAAAUCCCCGGGCUCAACCUGGGAACUGCAUUCGAAACUGGCAGGCUAGAGUCUUGUAGAGGGGGUAGAAUUCCAGGUGUAGCGGUGAAAUGCGUAGAGAUCUGGAGGAAUACCGGUGGCGAAGGCGGCCCCCUGGACAAAGACUGACGCUCAGGUGCGAAAGCGUGGGGAGCAAACAGGAUUAGAUACCCUGGUAGUCCACGCCGUAAACGAUGUCGAUUUGGAGGUUGUGCCCUUGAGGCGUGGCUUCCGGAGCUAACGCGUUAAAUCGACCGCCUGGGGAGUACGGCCGCAAGGUUAAAACUCAAAUGAAUUGACGGGGGCCCGCACAAGCGGUGGAGCAUGUGGUUUAAUUCGAUGCAACGCGAAGAACCUUACCUGGUCUUGACAUCCACAGAACUUUCCAGAGAUGGAUUGGUGCCUUCGGGAACUGUGAGACAGGUGCUGCAUGGCUGUCGUCAGCUCGUGUUGUGAAAUGUUGGGUUAAGUCCCGCAACGAGCGCAACCCUUAUCCUUUGUUGCCAGCGGUCCGGCCGGGAACUCAAAGGAGACUGCCAGUGAUAAACUGGAGGAAGGUGGGGGAUGACGUCAAGUCAUCAUGGCCCUUACGACCAGGGCUACACACGUGCUACAAUGGCAUAUACAAAGAGAAGCGACCUCGCGAGAGCAAGCGGACCUCAUAAAGUAUGUCGUAGUCCGGAUUGGAGUCUGCAACUCGACUCCAUGAAGUCGGAAUCGCUAGUAAUCGUAGAUCAGAAUGCUACGGUGAAUACGUUCCCGGGCCUUGUACACACCGCCCGUCACACCAUGGGAGUGGGUUGCAAAAGAAGUAGGUAGCUUAACCUUCGGGAGGGCGCUUACCACUUUGUGAUUCAUGACUGGGGUGAAGUCGUAACAAGGUAACCGUAGGGGAACCUGCGGUUGGAUCACCUCCUUA
rnacentral:rRNA from 1 species